UACAGAGGGGGCAAGCGUUGUUCGGAAUUACUGGGCGUAAAGGGCGCGUAGGCGGCCUGUUAAGUCGGACGUGAAAUCCCUCGGCUCAACCGGGGAACUGCGUCCGAUACUGGCGGGCUUGAAUUCGGGAGAGGGAUGUGGAAUUCCAGGGGUAGCGGUGAAAUGCGUAGAUAUCUGGAGGAACACCGGUGGCGAAGGCGGCAUCCGGGACCGACAUUGACGCUGAGGCGCGAAAGCCAGGGGAGCAAACGGG
rnacentral:rRNA from 1 species